rnacentral:rRNA from 1 species
GAUUAAGUUAUUAAGGGCGCACGGUGGAUGCCUUGGCACUAGAAGCCGAUGAAGGACGUUACUAACGACGAUAUGCUUUGGGGAGCUGUAAGUAAGCUUUGAUCCAGAGAUUUCCGAAUGGGGAAACCCAGCAUGAGUUAUGUCAUGUUAUCGAUAUGUGAAUACAUAGCAUAUCAGAAGGCACACCCGGAGAACUGAAACAUCUUAGUACCCGGAGGAAGAGAAAGAAAAUUCGAUUCCCUUAGUAGCGGCGAGCGAAACGGGAAGAGCCCAAACCAACAAGCUUGCUUGUUGGGGUUGUAGGACACUCUAUACGGAGUUACAAAGGACGACAUUAGACGAAUCAUCUGGAAAGAUGAAUCAAAGAAGGUAAUAAUCCUGUAGUCGAAAAUGUUGUCUCUCUUGAGUGGAUCCUGAGUACGACGGAGCACGUGAAAUUCCGUCGGAAUCUGGGAGGACCAUCUCCUAAGGCUAAAUACUCUCUAGUGACCGAUAGUGAACCAGUACCGUGAGGGAAAGGUGAAAAGCACCCCGGAAGGGGAGUGAAAUAGAACCUGAAACCGUGUGCUUACAAGUAGUCAGAGCCCGUUAAUGGGUGAUGGCGUGCCUUUUGUAGAAUGAACCGGCGAGUUACGAUUUGAUGCAAGGUUAAGCAGUAAAUGUGGAGCCGUAGCGAAAGCGAGUCUGAAUAGGGCGUUUAGUAUUUGGUCGUAGACCCGAAACCAGGUGAUCUACCCUUGGUCAGGUUGAAGUUCAGGUAACACUGAAUGGAGGACCGAACCGACUUACGUUGAAAAGUGAGCGGAUGAACUGAGGGUAGCGGAGAAAUUCCAAUCGAACCUGGAGAUAGCUGGUUCUCUCCGAAAUAGCUUUAGGGCUAGCCUCAAGUGAUGAUUAUUGGAGGUAGAGCACUGUUUGGACGAGGGGCCCCUCUCGGGUUACCGAAUUCAGACAAACUCCGAAUGCCAAUUAAUUUAACUUGGGAGUCAGAACAUGGGUGAUAAGGUCCGUGUUCGAAAGGGAAACAGCCCAGACCACCAGCUAAGGUCCCAAAAUAUAUGUUAAGUGGAAAAGGAUGUGGCGUUGCCCAGACAACUAGGAUGUUGGCUUAGAAGCAGCCAUCAUUUAAAGAGUGCGUAAUAGCUCACUAGUCGAGUGACACUGCGCCGAAAAUGUACCGGGGCUAAACAUAUUACCGAAGCUGUGGAUUGUCCUUUGGACAAUGGUAGGAGAGCGUUCUAAGGGCGUUGAAGCAUGAUCGUAAGGACAUGUGGAGCGCUUAGAAGUGAGAAUGCCGGUGUGAGUAGCGAAAGACGGGUGAGAAUCCCGUCCACCGAUUGACUAAGGUUUCCAGAGGAAGGCUCGUCCGCUCUGGGUUAGUCGGGUCCUAAGCUGAGGCCGACAGGCGUAGGCGAUGGAUAACAGGUUGAUAUUCCUGUACCACCUAUAAUCGUUUUAAUCGAUGGGGGGACGCAGUAGGAUAGGCGAAGCGUGCGAUUGGAUUGCACGUCUAAGCAGUAAGGCUGAGUAUUAGGCAAAUCCGGUACUCGUUAAGGCUGAGCUGUGAUGGGGAGAAGACAUUGUGUCUUCGAGUCGUUGAUUUCACACUGCCGAGAAAAGCCUCUAGAUAGAAAAUAGGUGCCCGUACCGCAAACCGACACAGGUAGUCAAGAUGAGAAUUCUAAGGUGAGCGAGCGAACUCUCGUUAAGGAACUCGGCAAAAUGACCCCGUAACUUCGGGAGAAGGGGUGCUCUUUAGGGUUAACGCCCAGAAGAGCCGCAGUGAAUAGGCCCAAGCGACUGUUUAUCAAAAACACAGGUCUCUGCUAAACCGUAAGGUGAUGUAUAGGGGCUGACGCCUGCCCGGUGCUGGAAGGUUAAGAGGAGUGGUUAGCUUCUGCGAAGCUACGAAUCGAAGCCCCAGUAAACGGCGGCCGUAACUAUAACGGUCCUAAGGUAGCGAAAUUCCUUGUCGGGUAAGUUCCGACCCGCACGAAAGGCGUAACGAUUUGGGCACUGUCUCAACGAGAGACUCGGUGAAAUCAUAGUACCUGUGAAGAUGCAGGUUACCCGCGACAGGACGGAAAGACCCCGUGGAGCUUUACUGUAGCCUGAUAUUGAAAUUCGGCACAGCUUGUACAGGAUAGGUAGGAGCCUUUGAAACGUGAGCGCUAGCUUACGUGGAGGCGCUGGUGGGAUACUACCCUAGCUGUGUUGGCUUUCUAACCCGCACCACUUA